GUGCUUGCUUUGGCAACACAUAUACUGAAAACAUAGGACGAUACAGAGAAGAUUAGCAUGGCACCUGACAUGCAAAUUAGUGAAGCAUUCUGUUUUUAA
rnacentral:snRNA from 1 species